AAAUAAGAAACAAAGACUUGUAAUUAGUUUCGACCUAAUGUUUGAUGUUAGCUCAUCCUUAUUUU
rnacentral:tRNA from 1 species